GACUCUCGGCAAUCAAUAUCUCGGCUCUCAUAUCGAUGAAGAACGUAGCGAAAUGCGAUACUCGGUGUGAAUUAUAGAAUCUCGUGAACCAUUGAGUCUUUGAAUGUAAGUUGCACCCCAAGCCAUUAGACCGAGGGCAUGUCUUCCUGGGUGUCA